CCGGUUUCAAUCCAUUUUUUUCGGUUUCAAACCAUUUUUCAGUUUCAAUCUGCUGGCACUGUUUUGGCGUCCGGGGGCGCGCUGGGGGGCGGGGAUUCCGACCCGCAUGUAUUUGCAUAUAUUAUAAUGCUGACCAAUGACUGGAGAAAACACUGACGACGCGGCUGCGGUCACGGACAAACUCGCACGUGUCUGUUCGGGAAUGGCAGAUGCCGAGAGGUCCAGCGUUUACAUUACCGACUAUUUCAAAGUGACAGCCUGAGGUGUUCUUCAGUAACUUGGACUACCGGACAGGAGGACCUGAGGCCCCACCGCAUUAUUUUUGGAUGCAGCAGCAGACUGAACCUCGACUGAAACCUGCUCCAUCAUCUCAUCUUUGCAGAUGUCCAUUUAUAAAGCAUCAACAACUCAAAGGAGCUGUCCUCAGAUUCAGACCUCAGCACCACCCAGUGACAGCAGACAGAUCAUCCUAUAGCUUCAAUCUUUGUAGUAACUCCAAAAUUAACUGAAGAAAACAGUACAAAGGUUAAAGUACCACAUGUGCUGUCAGUGAAAGCUGCAGCUGUUUUAUUGAUAAAUUUAAAGACAAAAAGUCAAAAGGAUUAAUCACCCCUGUAACUGUGUCACUGUACAUCAGCAUUAACAGGACCUCAGUUUGGUGUUUCAGAAAACUGCUGAUCUCAGACCUGCACAACUUCUGUUUUAAACACUGAAUGUACUCAGCUACAUGAAGAGCACGUGAUGUUUUCUCUGACACAAUUAAAUAAAACCUG
ensembl:lncRNA